rnacentral:lncRNA from 1 species
AGGAGGUAGAGAAACAACAAAGGAAGGAGCAUGAGGAACAGAAUAACAAGGAGGGUGAGAAACAGGAAAUGGAGGUAAAGUCGCAGAAUGUGGAGGAUGUAACGGAAAACCAGAGUGGGGAGUUCUCUGAAGUUCAAGGAAUGGAGAAAGUAGUAAAUACAACUCCUGAAAUAAAAACACAAGAAAGUCAAAAAAGCAAGGAGAGAAACAUUUCAUCUGAAGCUUCAAGAAAGGUCAAAUCAG